CUUGGUCAUUUAGAGGAAGUAAAAGUCGUAACAAGGAUCCCGUAGGUGAACCUGCGGAAGGAUCAUUAAUAAAAUAUGGCCCACGCAGCCAGACAGUUAAACCUGUCUGUUACUGCGUGGGUUGUAUACAACCACCUGUUUACCUGUACCUGUUGCUUCCGUGGAGUUACGGGUGCUCACCCUGUUCGCAGGUGUGGGUUACCUUCCACGGGUGUAGUUUGAACGCUUGUUUAGUUGAAUGUAGUGUCUGAAUAACUAUUGUAAUAAAGUUAAAACUUUCAACAACGGAUCUCUAGGUUCUCGCAUCGAUGAAGAACGCAGCGAAAUGCGAUAAGUAGUGUGAAUUGCAGAUUUCAGUGAAUCAUCGAAUCUUUGAACGCACAUUGCGCCCUUUGGUAUUCCGAAGGGCAUGCCUGUCUGAGCGUCAAUAAAUCAAUCAAACUUUGGUUUGGUAUUGGAAGAAGUGGCAUUUGUGUCACUCUUCUGUAAGCUAUUGGCGACGCUGUUCUAGCUUGCAAGACGUAGUAAGUAAUUCCUCGUCGAAGCAUCUGUUCGGCUGUCUGCCAACUGAACGAUUUAUUUCUACAGCUUGACCUCAGAUCAGGUAGGGAUACCCCCUGAACUUAAGCAUAUCAAUAAGCGGAGGA
rnacentral:rRNA from 1 species